rnacentral:tRNA from 1 species
GCCUGGGUGGCUUAGUCGGUUAAACAUCUGACUUUGGCUCAGGCCGUGAUUCAUGGUUCGUGGGUUCGAGCCCCGCAUCAGGCU